UCUGUCCUUUAGAUAUUUGUGCAUAUAAAUUAAAAUAUUAAAUUCAUUUUUUUUAUUCAAUAACAUACCUAAAAAAAAUACAAACACACACACAACUCUUUUUCUAUUAUUAUUUGUUUUUUCUUCUCUUUUCUUUUCUUUUCUUUUCUUUUUUUUUUUACAUCCACAUUUACACCAAGUACAAAUUAUAAAAAAAAAAACUCAAAAUUACACAAAUAUUACAUUACACAAUUUGAAAAUUACAAAAUAAUCCAAAAAAUCAGGAAAAACAACUCUGGGAUGCAUUCUGGGUCUGCCUGAACAGUAGCGGCGCAUCUCCCCACGCGCCUCCGCCAUUGGCGGCGCGUGGAUUCACGCGCCGCUGCUGACAAUGACCGGAAAUGGGCAGAUCUGCCCUGCUUUCUUCUUCCCUUCCCUUCUCUGCUGGCUGUGAGAACCACAGUUACCUGCAAAGGUAAAAACACACAUGCAAAGCUUCCGAUUCUUUUUCCCUUUUUUUUUUUAGAUCUACGCUCUCUUGUCUUCUCCUUUUGGUUUUCUGUUCUUCCCUUCUGCAGGUGGCGGACGGCUCUGAGGUCAGGGUGUCUCUGUGAGCGGCUGGAGGAAGGUGAGCAGCGGCUGGUUUCUGUGGGCGCCGCCGUAUGGGGGCUGUCGCUGGAGGGCAAAUCUGCGAACGCUGCUGGAGGGAGAAGACGGACCGCUCCGAGUCUGUGGGCGAUGCUGCUGCUGACGGCGAAGACCAGGAAGAAGACAGCGGGGGCUGACGUUGUGUUCGGCUUGAGGAAGAGAGCUUGUCCGUGGGUGAGGGGGGAGUGAGCGGCUGCUUAGGUGAGGGGGGAGUGAGCUUGUCCGUGGGUGAGGGGGGACGGCGGCUGUCUUCAACAGGGAAAGGGAGGCUUCGGCUGAGGGGAGAAGACUGGGGUCCGUCUGGUCAGAAGAGGAAGGUCGGCUGAGGGAGAAGAGAAAAAAUCAAAAAAGGGGGGGGGGCUGGCCAGGCGGCGACUGCCUUCUGGUGAGGGAGAGAAAAAGCUAAGCUUUUAGGGUUUGUGUUUUUUUGUGUUGCCUCUCCCCCAAAUCUCAAAAUGGCCCCCCUUUGGUUUUGAGUUUUGGACCUAUAUUUAUAGGUAAAAUGUUGUCCGGACUCAAAAUUGGUCCUUCAAUUUUUUUUUUUGUAAAUUUUGAUUUUUCUUGUUUUUUCUUGUAUUUUUAAAAACGAGCAAUAUCAACGUUGACUCAAAGAGAAAAAUCAAGGAUUUUAAAAACAACGCGUGAAAAUUCGAACGCAUUCGAAAACUUCUGAAAAUUUAAAUUUUUUUUUAGACGACGUUGAAAAUGCUAAAAACGAUGCAAAUAUAUAAAAACAUAUUUUUUUGGAUUUUCGUUGUUUUUCGCUAUUUUUGGAUUUUUUCAAAACUUUUAUCAAAUAGGUGGGUCAAAAAUUGAGUAGCAACAGAUGCCCCCUCUUUACAAUGCUUACGAAGCAAAAUUCCUCAAUGUUUUGCAUAGUAAGCUUUGUAAAGAAAAGAAAAAGAAAAUGAUCUCAUUAUCUUGGGCAACUGCCCCUUUUAAAGAAAAAGUGGUCUAUUUUCACGGGCGACCUGCCCACACAUACUCAUUAUGGUCUAUUUUUAGGGGCGACCUGCCCACACACUCACACGGGUCUAUUUUCACGGGCGACCUGCCCACACAUACUCAAAGUGGUCUAUUUUCACGGGCGACCUGCCCACACACUCACACAAUGGUCUAUUUUCAAGGGCGACCAGCCCACACAUACUCAAAGUGGUCUAUUUUCACGGGCGACCUGCCCACACACUCACACUGGUCUAUUUUCACAGGCGACCUGCCCACACAUACUCAAAGUGGUCUAUUUUCAAAGGCGACCUACCAUUUUGAUUGGGUUUACCUGAGAUCCCAUCUGGCGAUCUAACAAGAACAAAAAUUGGUGUGUAGCUCGGUCAACCUGAAAUCCCAUCUAGCGAUUCCCUUUAACCAAAGCUAAAUUCUGCAUGGUUAGGCUAAACUGAGAUCCUUUUGCCGAUCCCCUUUAACCAGAACCAAAACUCUUGUGUGCGAUUAGGAUAGACUGAGAUUCCUUUCGCCAAUCCCCUCUAACCAGAACCGAAACUCUUGUAUGGUUAGGAUAGACUGAGAUUCCUUUCGCUAAUCCCCUCUAACCAGAACCAAAAUCUAUGUGGUUGGGCUGAACUGAGACCCCUUCGCCGAUCCCCUUCAACCAGAACCAAAACUCCUGUGUGCGGUUAGGAUAGACUGAGAUUCCUUUCGCCAAUCCCCUCUAACCAGAACCGAAACUCCUGUAUGGUUAGGAUAGACUGAGAUUCCUUUCGUCAAUCCCCUCUAACCAGAACCAAAAUCUGUGUGGUUGGGCUGAACUGAGACCCCUUCGCCGAUCCCCUUCAACCAGAACCAAAAUCUGUGUGCGGUUAGGAUAGAUUGAGAUUCCUUUCGCCAAUCCCCUCUAACCAGAAUCGAAACUCCUGUAUGGUUAGGAUAGACUGAGAUUCCUUUCGCCAAUCCCCUCUAACCAGAACCAAAAUCUGUGUGGUUAGGCUGAACUGAGACCCCUUCGCCGAUCCCCUUCAACCAGAACCAAAACUCCUGUGUGCGGUUAGGAUAGACUGAGAUUCCUUUCGCCAAUCCCCUCUAACCAAAACCAAAACUCCUGUAUGGUUAGGAUAGACUGAGAUCAGAACCAAAAUCUGUGUGUGUAGCUCGGUCUACCUGAAAUCCCAUCUGGCGAUUCCCUUUAACCAAAGCUACGUGAGAUCCCAUCUGGCGACCUCCUUUAACAAAAACCAAAAAAUGUAAAAAGUGGUCUCAUUGUAAUGGGUGACCUACCCAGAUGAAAGAAUGUUAAAAACGGUCUCAUUAUGAUGGGUGACCUACCCAAGUGGAAAAAAUGAUGGUCUCAUUGUGAUGGGUGACCUACCCAAAGAAAGAUGGUCUCAUUAUGAUGGGUGACCUACCCAGAGAAAGAUGGUCUCAUUAUGAUGGGUGACCUACCCAGAUGGAAAAAUGUGACUUACCUGGCAAAAAGACUUGGCUGGAGAAGUCUUGACAGGAUAAGGUUGACAAACUGCGCUUCCUGAUUACAGGGUUGACUUGAAGACCCCUCUUGAUGACAGGGUUGAUCUCCUCGUUUCUUUGAGAUUCCCCUACUAGCAGGGUUCAUCUCAUUCUCUUCUCGUUCCAGGAUCUAAACCAAUUCUUUGUUAUCAUCAACUCAAUGAUUCUUUCUUUGUCCACAAUCUUGCUGGACUUCAUUGAGGAUCUUCCUGUAACAAUCACAAGUAUGUGCAGUGCUUUGAGGUUAGAUGGCAUGCAUGCAUCCUUACCUGAUUUGAAAUAUAGGUCCCCCCCUCUUUGAUGAUCCAUUGUUAUGAGGUGCCUUUGUUUGCAUUCCAAAGCUUUCUUUGUUCUUUCGAUGCAUUUGCGUGCUAGCCUUCUACUCAAAUGCAAGUACAAUGCCCAUCUUAGGCUGUCCACGGUGAUUACUACUCUCGUUGUUUAUCAAGCUGGACUCUGCCCCCAAGUGUGGUGUUGCUUGAUUCAUCAUGAAGGAUUUUCUCUUUUGGAUUCUUCUAAGAAUUAUCCUCUGAUUGGUUGUGUGCAUCAUGCCAACACCCAUCAAAAUGGUCAAUCAAUCAUGAACUUACUUCCAGCUAAAACAAUACUUUUCAAGUAUAUGUUAUCAUCAACCUUCUUGGAACUGUCAGGUCAUCCAGACAUGGAUCUCAUACCUUGCAGUAAAAGCCUCAUCGUUGUUAGCUCAAUGUUUUUCUCCAUGGAUUCCUCUCAGUUUGUCAAAUCAAAUCAUGAAAGGAAAUGCAUUGGCAUCAUCAAUGAUGUUCAUCACCCAUAUUCAUGCAGUGAAGUGCGCAUUUGAGCUUCAAAACAAAUGGUCCCACAGUCAAUCUUAGUGGGUGCAUCCUUCCAACAUUCAUUCAAAUGCAACAAUGUGAUAACAUCGCUCAAAAGUCAUAGCCAUGUUGGAGAUGAUAAACCAAAAUGAAGAUAUGAAAAUAUCCUUCAAGUGCAGCGUUGCCCAUUAAUUGCUGCUGAAGUUCACUAAAUCAUGGAUUGUCUUUGAACAACAUUGCCCCCAAUAUGAUCUGAACAUGCUCAUUCUUCUUUCUAUAACCAAAUGGCUUUUGUGAUCGCUAAGAAUGACUUUGAUGGACUUCGCCAACUCAUCGUUCGAUUCUUUCUCUGCCCCCAGCUGAUCUGAAUACCUUUUGUUUUCCUUCUCAGGGUCCACUGUAUUGACCCAGGUGGUCAACUUUUCAAGGAGUGUCAAGAAGUGUUGAUGUCAUUCUUGUCAAGGAUUUUGCAAACUCGAUCGAUAUUCUUCUUAUUUGACAAUCUUUCUAUUCUGGAAUCAACUCUCAUACUCCAAAGAUCAUGUCUAUCCAAAGUCUAGUUGUUGGAAUGAAAUCAGAGAGAUGUCAAUUUUGAAAAGUAUUUUUGGAAAUCAAGCUUGUUUGGUCAAAGAUCCAACACACGUUAUUCAAUGUAGUCCUUUGAUUGUCGUGUAUUUUGAAAACAGAAAUGACCCGUUGUAAGAUUAAAAUGACUUUUUUCAUGGUUCUUUGUGUCAGUUUUAAUCUUUGAUCUUUGGGUAUACCUUUCGAUGGUCUACGAUGAGGUGACCUUCUGUGAAUUUCAAGAAACAAAAGGCUCAAGUCAAAACUUGAGGAUUCAUCAAGAAAGAUUGUUUUCUUUUUUUUAGCACCAAUUUUAUCAGCAUGCAUAAUAACCAGUAGCUUAAUCCAUGAAGUCACGACCCUUAUGGAAAAGCUCUUCAAGUUUUGAGAGCGCCAUUUAUCAAUUCAAAUUGCUUGCUUGAUUAAAAAGGGCUUUUAAAAGCACGUAAUGCAGGCUAUGGUUCAUGGCUAUGAAAGAAAGGAAUUUCACAGGCUCAAAUGGUGUUUAAGGGUUUCAAAGACCCAGGAUCAACAUCAACUAUUCACCAACUUGUUUUCUAUUGUUGUCUUUGUAGAGGAAACGACAUAUAACCUUGUUAAUCUCAAAGAUCAGACUUCUCUUAACAUAAGUCAUAAUGCAAAUCCACCUUUCCUUAAUGAAUAACCAACCUUAAUCAUCUGAUAACAUCAUAGGCUUGAUAAUGGAAACCAAAAGUCACGUUUAUAGCUUAGUCUUUUUUCUGGUGUUGACUUUUGUUGUGUCUUUCCUUGAUUGAAAUUUCUUUUGCCCUUCCUAGACUUGAUAGGCGUUCUCCUUCCUUUAUCUUUGACUUGCCUUUAAACGAAGGCAAUUUCAACUUCUUCUUUUUUUCAAUUCUUUUUUUUUUCUUUUUUUUUCUUUUUUGUUUUCUCAUAGCCUUCCUCAAAAUUUCUUAUAUGCCCCCAGUCUAUGUGUUUUCUUUUAGCCCUCUCUCAAUCAUUGGACUUUUGUUCUAAGCCUUCCCCUUUAUCCAUUAAUUAUAUCAAUGUCUCCAACAUAUCUCUCAUCUGCCCCCAGUGUGGGGUGUGAUCCAAGUCAGGGUUUUUAUGAAAAGAAUAUUCUAUCCAGCUCAAAAUGGGACUACAAGGGAUAUAAUCUUUAGAAAGUGAAGGGAUAUCAAAGAUGGCCUUUUCUCAUUUCAAGCAAGGUCGGUUAGAACCGAUCAAUUUUGACCCCAUCCGGUGUAAUGAUUGGGACUUGUAAGAAUUAUGAUUCACGAGUCCAUAACUACCGAAUCCACUACAUGUUAUUAUGCAUACUGCUAAAACUUAGCUAUAUGAUGUGUGGUUCAGUUUCAGGAGGUAUGAGUUCAAAAUUGUUUAGUCACCUCAUGUCAUUUUCAAGCAUCGAGUCAUUUCUGUAAUCAAAACACUUUUAAUCUUCCGGAUUGAUUAACCUUUAUCGCAUGUUGGAGUUUGAUCAAAAUAUUUUGUCAGAAUGAAAUGCUAAACAUCUUUGGAUUUCAAAACAACAAAGAGACAAAAACAAGACAUGUUUCGUUAAAGGAUGAGAUGUGAUCCCAAAACAAAAUGCAGAAUUCCAUAACAAUAUGAUUGACAAUUCAUCGCCAUUCUUGAAUCAGCUUUUCUGGCAAUAUCUGUGUUUUGCCAAGCACUUUCGAUCACAUGUCAUUCUGAAGAUGUUCGGGGGAUAAUAUAGCCAAUGACACUCUCCUUCACAAACUCUACUUGUCUCUUGCUCACUGACUUCCGGACUCGCUUCUUGAAAUUCUUGCAACUGUUCCAGUAAAUGGCUGAGUACCCCACCAUGACAUCACAUCUCUUGUUCGGAUUAUACCACCUAAAAAAUGGUAGUUGCAUGGGAUUUGUCGGAGUCAAGCAAAAAUCUGGAAUCUGGCAGAUGCUGGUAAAUAAACUCACAUGACAACUGUUCAAUUGAAAUUCUUGCAGCAAUUCCAUUGAAAUGGCCGAGGACCCCACCAUCACAUCACAUCACAUCACAUCUCUUGUCUGGAUUAUACCACAUGGCAAAUGAAUGUCUAUCUUUGGCAAAGACAUUGGAGUAGUCGAUGAUACAACGAGACUUGGCUAGACCACAUAAUUAAGGUUUCCCACCGUCAGAGUCUUCCUUUGAUUCAUCUCUCAUCAUUGUUCUGGAAUCCUUGGCAGAACCUUCAAUCUUUCCCAUCUUGAUAGCUUGUUCAUUUUUUUGGCAAUUCAUACAACUUCAUGUCAAUCUUCCAAUGUUAUUGUUGUUGUUUUAGGAUUGUUGGAAACCUCUCAAUAGCUAAGGAAUCCUGGUAGUGCAUAAAAACAAAAACGUGUGGAAUCACACAUUGUCAAAACUGGAAGAGAGCCCGAUGAAUCUAAAGCUCCUCUAUCUCCUCUUCGAUUCCUCACAGACAAUGGAACAAACAGACAUCUGUAAAGGGAGUUCUGCUCUGUUAAAGUUUCAGUCUUCUUCAUGUUGUUUAGUCCAGGUUUGUCUUUUCUCCCUUCUUUUGCGUUGUAAUGUCGAUACUGGUAGGGGAAAAUUGUGGACAAUCUGAAACCACUGCAUCCCUUCUUGGGUUUCCCACUUGCAGACCCAUAAACAGAUUUCUGCUGAGAAAGCUCUGCCACGUUGAAGUUUGAUGUCUACUCAUGUUUUUCAGACUAGAUCUGACUCUUCUCCCUGCUACAAUGUUUUGCUGGUGCCACUGGUGGGAGAAAUUUUCAAAGCAUGUGAAACUACUACAUCCCCUCUUGCAUUCCCCACAAAUAAAUCUUUACAGAGAGCUCUGCAACGUGGAAGUUCAGUGUCUAAUCCUGUUGCUGAACUGGAAUUGAGCUCACAAUUGUGGUAACUUUAAAGAAGACUAAUGCACCAUGCAUAUGAGGCUAGUAGUUAUUUGGUUCCAUUAAAAGAUGUGGAGGCGAUGAAAAAUUAACAGUGCAACUGAACAAGAGCAAAGGUUGUCAUUAGCUGAUGACUAAAAGCAUUGUUGUUGCUGUUCAUGACUGAAAAGGAGAGGUACAGCUUCAAUUAGACGUGAAUAAGCAGUGUUCCCACAGAAGACUGUGCAGACAUUCUCUUUCCAUUUGAUGCUCAACACUUGUUCGAGCAAAUCUGAGUCUAGCUACUUCACCUUUGAUGCUCUCAACCUCAAUCUGAUAAUGAGCCUCUAUCCAUAAUCUUUCUUCCCUUCCAUCAUCUUUCUUCCAUCACGUGCAGCACAGCUUGUGCGAGGGACCUACCUUUCAACCCGGUACAUGCAUGAUAAAUGUAUGAAUAUGUAAUCUAUAUGACGAACUCGCCCUUCGAGGGGUGACAUAUGAUCGCAACUCUUGCAUGAUGAAACAAGAAUCUUGAUUCUUGCACAAACUCUACAAUGAAAAUUUUCUGAGCGACGAUCAUUGUGUCACCCAUAAGUCUGGAGUUCAAGAUGCUUCAAGAAGGGCUUGCUUGGAUGCAAAACAAUGUCUACGGAGCAUACAUCCUAAAGACAGUUCUAAUCCUUUUUAAGUGGGACAAAAGGUAGGUUUACUACUUGGUCUCUAAAAAGGGUCUCUCGUUGUCCCAGUGAUUACCCUCUUGAAGGCAAUAUAGGGGCUUGUAGGCAAUGAGAUGGCACGUGUCCAACUAUUACCAGUCUAAGCACUCAACGAAGAGUUGGGGUUUACACAAACUUAAACCUUGACUAAAAUCAUAAGGUAAGCUGCUAGUCCCCCUCCUAACCUGAAGCUUGUGUGUGCUUUAAAAAAUUACACUAUGUGAUGCAUGAGACAAUUCUACAAAAUGCAUGGAUAAAACAAAAAUAAAAUAGGACAAAAUUGUAAAAACAUAAACGCAUCAAAAACACAAAGCUUAGUCCAAUAAUGUUGAAAACAAUACCUUCCCCAGUGGAGUCGUCAUUCUGUCGCACGUCCGAAAAUCCGCGCGGCAUCGGGCUUGACGACUUUUUCGUCUUCUCGUUUGCUUUGAUUACAUCGUUAGGAGUCGCCACCUAGUAUUUAAUUGAGGGCUACUAGGAAACCCGGGUGUACUGGUCUCGUCAGAGAUUCAUGGGUAAGGGACUGGUUGUGGUUAGGGAAGGUAUUAGCACCCCUAACGCACCCUACCUGAGGUAAGCUGCUUCGUGGACUUGAUGUGUUAAAGAAGUUUUAAAAUUCGGUUCAUUCAUCGAAUUUUAGAAAAUACAACUUACACUUACAUGUAAGUUCAUAAUUCUUUAUCCGUGAGCAAAUCAGAAUAUUAAAUUCUUCUUUAUUCUCGCAAUUUUAUCCUAAAAAAAACAUUCAUAAACAAAAUACACACCACACAUUCACUUUCAAGCUUCGUGGACUUGAUGUGAUUUAAAAAAUAAAAUUUUAGCCCAAUUCUAAGGCUUUGAUAAAUCAGUUAUUACUUCCCAAAAUAUAUGUAGAUACAUGUUCUAUAUUUUUAUGGAAAAUACAACAUGAUUUUUAUCUGUCCUUUAGAUAUUUGUGCAUAUAAAUUAAAAUAUUAAAUUCAUUUUUUUUUAUUCAAUAACAUACCUAAAAAACAAUACAAACACACACACAACUCUUUUUCUAUUAUUAUUUGUUUUUUCUUCUCUUUUCUUUUCUUUUUUUUUUUCUUACAUCCACAUUUACACCAAGUACAAAUUAUAAAAAAAAAACUCAAAAUUACACAAAUAUUACAUUACACAAUUUGAAAAUUACAAAAUAAUCCAAAAAAUCAGGAAAAACAACUCUGGGAUGCAUUCUGGGUCUGCCAGAACAGUAGCGGCGCGUCUCCCCACGCGCCUCCGCCACUAGCGGCGCGUGGAUUCACGCGCCGCUGCUGACAAUGACCGGAAAUGGGCAGAUCUGCCCUGCUUUCUUCUUCCCUUCCCUUCUCUGCUGGCUGUGAGAACCACAGUUACCUGCAAAGGUAAAAACACACAUGCAAAGCUUCCGAUUCUUUUUCCCUUUUUUUNNNNNN
rnacentral:lncRNA from 1 species